GAUGAACGCUGGCCGCGUGCCUAAUACAUGCAAGUCGAGCGAACGGACGAGAAGCUUGCUUCUCUGAUGUUAGCGGCGGACGGGUGAGUAACACGUGGAUAACCUACCUAUAAGACUGGGAUAACUUCGAGAAACCGGAGCUAAUACCGGAUAAUAUUUUGAACCGCAUGGUUCAAAGGUGAAAGACGGUCUUGCUGUCACUUAUAGAUGGAUCCGCGCUGCAUUAGCUAGUUGGUAAGGUAACGGCUUACCAAGGCAACGAUGCAUAGCCGACCUGAGAGGGUGAUCGGCCACACUGGAACUGAGACACGGUCCAGACUCCUACGGGAGGCAGCAGUAGGGAAUCUUCCGCAAUGGGCGAAAGCCUGACGGAGCAACGCCGCGUGAGUGAUGAAGGUCUUCGGAUCGUAAAACUCUGUUAUUAGGGAAGAACAUAUGUGUAAGUAACUGUGCACAUCUUGACGGUACCUAAUCAGAAAGCCACGGCUAACUACGUG
rnacentral:rRNA from 1 species